GAUGAAGAACGUAGCGAAAUGCGACAAGUAAUGUGAAUUGCAGAAUUCAGUGAAUCAUCGAAUCUUUGAACGCACAUUGCGCCCGCUAGUAUUCUGGCGGGCAUGCCUGUCUGAGCGUCAUUUCAACCCUCAUGCCCCUAGGGCGUGGUGUUGGGGAUCGGCCAAAGCCCGCGAGGGACGGCCGGCCCCUAAAUCUAGUGGCGGACCCGUCGUGGCCUCCUCUGCGAAGUAGUGAUAUUCCGCAUCGGAGAGCGACGAGCCCCUGCCGUUAAACCCCCAACUUUCCAAGGUUGACCUCAGAUCAGGUAGGAAUACCCGCUGAACUUAAGCAUAUCAAUAAGCGGAGGA
rnacentral:misc_RNA from 1 species